ACAAGUAUUGACAAAUCACCAAUUUCAAUCUAGAGCUUGAGAUUUUACUGCACUGCUACGGUUUUGACCAGAAAUUGACCCAAAAAUUUGGCAAGUCACCUAGUCAUUUUGCACAAAACAACAACUACUCAUCUUAGACUGAUGCAAACAUGUUUGAAUGAUUGAAACAAAGUUGUUUUAACACAAUUUCAGCUAAGAUUCAUUGGAUAACAAAAUUUGAGUAUAACAGUUCUGCAGCAAACUAUUUUAAGCAACUAAGAAAGCCAAAUUUUGCAAGCAAGUGUAAUUCAGCUUGAACACAACAGAAUUGAACUUGAUACAGCCAAAGAAAAUUGCUCAAAGUGGCANAAAUAUCAAUUAGAUGAUUGGCAAUGAUCUAAUGCUCAAUCCAAAUCAACACGCAGAAUUGACUACACAAAGAACUCUGCAGAUCGGUUUACUGCUUUUGAUCAAUCAAAUAUGAAUUAACAUACUCAUUCAUGCUUCAUUCAGUGUUAAUUAUGGAUCAGCAUUCAUGUAAGCAUAACUAACUAUGACAGAAGACAAAACCGCAUAACAGCUGAAGCAACAAAACAAUGUUUUCUGGAAUUCAAAAUAGAUGCAGUUUGCUCUGUAUGGACUUAGUGAAUUCUACAAGGAUUAUUACCAAAUCAUGCACAUGAGCUCCUCAUCGUCAUCAUCAUCGUCAUCGUCAUCGUUAUCGUCAUCCUCCCUAUCGUCAUCAUCCUUAUUGUCAACACCCAAUUUCGUCC
rnacentral:lncRNA from 1 species